AGAGUUUGAUCCUGGCUCAGGACGAACGCUGGCGGCGCGCCUAACACAUGCAAGUCGAACGGAGCUUAGAGAGCUUGCUUUUUAAGCUUAGUGGCGAACGGGUGAGUAACGCGUGAGUAACCUGCCCUAGAGUGGGGGACAACAGUUGGAAACGACUGCUAAUACCGCAUAAGCCCACGGUAUCGCAUGAUACUGAGGGAAAAGGAUUUAUUCGCUUUAGGAUGGACUCGCGUCCAAUUAGCUAGUUGGUGAGGUAACGGCCCACCAAGGCGACGAUUGGUAGCCGGACUGAGAGGUUGAACGGCCACAUUGGGACUGAGACACGGCCCAGACUCCUACGGGAGGCAGCAGUGGGGGAUAUUGCACAAUGGGGGAAACCCUGAUGCAGCGACGCCGCGUGGAGGAAGAAGGUUUUCGGAUUGUAAACUCCUGUCGUUAGGGACGAUAAUGACGGUACCUAACAAGAAAGCACCGGCUAACUACGUGCCAGCAGCCGCGGUAAAACGUAGGGUGCAAGCGUUGUCCGGAAUUACUGGGUGUAAAGGGAGCGCAGGCGGGAAGACAAGUUGGAAGUGAAAUCUAUGGGCUCAACCCAUAAACUGCUUUCAAAACUGUUUUUCUUGAGUAGUGCAGAGGUAGAUGGAAUUCCCGGUGUAGCGGUGGAAUGCGUAGAUAUCGGGAGGAACACCAGUGGCGAAGGCGGUCUACUGGGCACCAACUGACGCUGAGGCUCGAAAGCAUGGGUAGCAAACAGGAUUAGAUACCCUGGUAGUCCAUGCCGUAAACGAUGAUUACUAGGUGUUGGAGGAUUGACCCCUUCAGUGCCGCAGUUAACACAAUAAGUAAUCCACCUGGGGAGUACGACCGCAAGGUUGAAACUCAAAGGAAUUGACGGGGGCCCGCACAA
rnacentral:rRNA from 1 species